CCAGCAGCCCAGGCUGCCCAGAGCCACAUCCAGCCUGGCCUUGAAUGCCUGCAGGGAUGGGGCAUCCACAACCAAAAGUUAAAUGGGGCUUGAGCACAUACCUUUGUGAUGGGAGAAGGAUGCUCUGGUGGAGAAACCAGAGCUCACCCUGCCAAGCAUGCUCCCCAAAAUGCCUUUCUUGCCUGUUCCUUGAUGCCUCUUGAAGUUUUCUCCCGUGCUCGUUUUGUGCCAAGUUCCCAUGUGGAAUCACCUGCAGAGAUCUGUGCAAACUUGAAUUCCCCACGGGAGUGCUGGAGCUUGCUGCAGUCUGUCGGGAACGGCUGUUUGCCAUCUGCUUGAGAUGGGCAGCAGAGAACACGUGGCCAUGACAGGUUUGAGUGAGGAACCUUAAAAAGCAGCAGCCUCCAAUAGAGCUCCAUUCAGAGCAGCAGGAUCAGGUCUCUUGCAGUAGCUGGGACAAGACCAGAAUUUAAAUUAGCUACAUACAACAGAGAAGUAACCCCUCUUUGCUCACGGAGGCUUGGUGGGAAGUGGGAGAUGUCACUAUGAUUCUGUGUAUACGGGUAGCUCAGCUAUUUGGAGCGUAUUUGCAGGCCCAAAGUGGGGAUUUUAUUAUCCUCAUGAUCUAAACACACUGGGUAUGGCCAUAGGUUUGUUGUGCUGCUAGUCAGUGUGAGCUUGACUUGGUGGGGAUGCUUAGAAACUGCUUGGGUGAGAUAGUGCUUCCUCUGAACCAGUCUGCCAUGACAAGAAACCCCAGGGGACUGGGUGAAGGUGCUGCCUGAUGAGAGCAGAGAUGAGUUAAGGGUUGAGAUGAGGUGAGGAGGAGUGCUGGCUGGUGGCUGGAGCUGCUGCUGUGGGGACUCUCAGUUGGUGCAUCCAUGCAUUGGAAAUAACAGGCUUGCAAAGCAGAACAGGCUUGAAAAGCAGGGAACACCCAAUGUCUUGGGAGAAGGUAAACGUGUGUUUUUGCUGGAGCUUUGAGGAGCUGGGAUGGCACAGAAGCCAAGAUAAACCCUUAGAGACACAGCUCUGGGUAAGGGGAUUGUCUCAUUCAGAUCUCACAGCUGUCUUACCUGAAAAGGCCCAAAGUCACAAGUUGACUGGGAAAUAUAGGGCAAAGGUAGAAAAAUGGGGCAGCAAUGGCACAGGUUGGGGCAGUGCUGAGGGGCUCAGCUGUUGGAACACACCUUGGCUCUGCAUGCAGGGGGAGUUCUUCAUUCCUUCCCUCUCAUGUUGUCAGAUGCAUGCCCAGCCAACUGACAAAUCCAUCUCUUCAGAGAUCAAUUACAGUGUCUGGCUGCAAAGCCUGGAAAUCCAAUUAACUCCCAAAUAUAUAUUUUUUUUCUGUUAAAUAAAUAAAUAAAUAAAAUGAAAGAAGGGAGAGAGAAAGACAGAGGGAGAAAAAUACAUUCAAGUGGGGGCAUAAAUCACCUCGGAAACAUUCCAAACAUUAAAAUAAACAAGGAUGGGUUUCAACUUCAUUUGUCUUUUUGUGAAACUCUGUCACUGAUUUAUUUUGCUGCUCACAGCCUCAUUUUUGUCUUUGCUCUCUUUCAAAGUUGCCUCCCUGCCUCUGGUGAGGAGCUCUGGGGCUCUGUGCCUCCUGUGGCAGUGCCUUCUCCACACCGUGAUCCCCUCAAGGGACUUCCUUCUCUUGACCGGCUCUGUCACCCUCAGGAGGAAACUUUCCUCUACGCAGUGAUGCCCACAUGGAAACAUCAUGACUGUGCAUUUGCUUGGAAGUAAGCAGGGCCCAAGUGUGUCUCAUUGAGAUGUUAAGAGAAAUAGUGAGAAGUAUUGCAAGGAGUUUAGAGGAAAGAAGUGAGGGCUGAUGUAUUUAUAACAUUUCUGAUUUCUGGAACUGGUCAACAAAGGGCCAAUGAUCACUUUGUUAUCAAAACAAGGGAGCAAGAAUGGUAAUGAAGGAGCAAUGUCAUGCACACAUGAGGUGAGUAAAUCUCCCUUUGGACUUUGAUGAAGCUGCUGUCACCAGGCCUGAUGGUUUGGCUUCAAAGGUGAGUACCUGGGAGUGGCUGCAGUGGGAUGCAGUGUUGCUUCUGGUGGUGGGAGUCUGGUGUCUUGUGUGUGACUCAUCAGGUGUAGAGAUGAGGGUGGUGGAUAUCCUAGCCUUCCUCCUUAGGAUUAUGCCUUAGUGAGGAACACAGGCACUGGCAGUCCAGUGUUUUCACUUCAAUCUUGAUCACCGUCAGCUAAUGGUGUCAGUAGGAGUAGUUAGAGAGAGAAUAAACACUUUCUUGCCUAAAUAAGAGGCUCUUCUGUCUUUCAAGUGCUUGUUAUUUGGCUAAUUUAUCCCAAGUGAGGGUCAUUUGUUAACCUCCUCUUGAAGAGAUUCUGAUAGAGCUGAAGAAAGGGUGACAAUUCCUCUUCACUGCCAGCUAGGAGUGCAGGCACCUAUCCACAGUGGUUGGUAACAGCCACAGAUACCAAUCAUCUCUACAGUAGAUGCAAAUACAGAUAAGCAUCCUUGGGAUGCUGAUGCCCAUCUGGAGUGGCAACAAGCUGAGAGGAAUACCCUCGGACAGCCCAAACAGAAUGAGGUCCUCGUGUUUUGGCAACUGAAUAUCACCCAUCUGUUUCUAAAGAGGGCUUUUGAAUUCAGAGCUCUGUGUGGAAGGAAGAGAGUUGAAAAUGGAGCAGAGAGUGAGCUAGUGAGCCUCAAGAGCAAAUUCAGGUCAGCCCUGGAUUCUGGAGCUGGAGAAUCCAUCUUGCUAAGGCAACAGAGACGUGAUCCCUGCAGCAUCUAUGCUGCUGUCUGCAGUCCCUGUCCCCCACUUUCAAGAAACUUCAUUUUUCAUUCCAGAUGAGAAAGAAUAAUCCUUGGGGGUGGCUGUGAAGAGGAAUUGUCACCCUUCCUCCAGCUCUAUCAGCAACUCUUCAAGAGGCAGUUAACAAAUAACCUUCCUUUGGGAUAAAUUAGCUCUGAAUCCCAAUUCAAUAGCUGCUCAUUUUAAGAUGUCCUUGUUACCUUGUGUGAGUGGCUGAUCUUCCUUUGAAUCCUGCUGUGUUUUCAGACCCCGUGAUUGCUACGAGCAAUCACGAGUUCCACGUUAACAGCUCAUGCACUGAUUGCGCUGCACAGUCCCAACACAACCCUUUGUGAAAAGUUUCUGCAAGUUGAGCUUUGUGUUCCGCCAUCAGAAAGCUACACAGUUCUCACUCCAUCCCAUAUUCAGGCAACUGACUUCAAACGGAGACCGGCUUUGCAAGAGGCUGGUGUGCAGACAAGAUCCGUGCUUCUGAGUCCAGCUUUAGAAAGAAAGUAUUUUAGACAUCGUCAAGGAAACCUGGUGAAGGCACUGAGUUGGCCAACUGUGCCUGCGGGCAGCCUGGAGCAAAGGCUCUGAGAUGUGCAAAUAAUAACGCAAAUGGGUUUAUUUUUUUCUCCAACCCCAGCGUUGUUGCAGAGGAGGAGAGUGGCAUAGCAUGGCUGCAAAGGAAAGAGGUCUGCAUCAGAAGGAAAACCUCCUGCCAUGUCAGCUUGAUCAUACCUUCCAGUGCAACAGCCUUCCCCAGCUACGUUAAUGGCUGCUUCCUGUGGACUGGAAGUAUUGCCAAAGAGUGAGUGAUCCUUACUAAUAUGCAUCUCCAAAAACAACAGGCAGUCUUGCACAGAUCCUCUUAACACGUAUCUUUGGAUUUUGAGACGGUUGAGAGCUAUUUAUUCCCUCUCACACCAAUAUCAUCCAUAGUGCAAGAUGUCUUGAGCUGAUUAAAAAUCUCUUUAAUCAAAUACUGGCAGGGGAAAUGUUCAAAACAUUAGAAGAAUGACUUUGACAAGCUGCCCCUGAACUGAGUGACUUCAUCCAGAGGUUGGCCGGCGUGUGAUACAAAGCCUGCACUCACCUUCAUUUCCAAAGCUGCCAACAAACUGCAGUGAGGAUGCUGAGAGCCAGUAGGGCACUGUAGCCCGUGUUCGGUUCUUUUCUGUGAGAUACUGCCCCCCCAAAAGACCUUUGUUGCAGGCAAAAUCCAUUGCUCAAUUCACCAACCAGUACCUACGCUUGAAAUUCCUAUAUCCCAAAUCCAUGGGAACGAUUUUGAACAUGAACGUAGGCUGGAAAUCAUUGCUGUGCAGAUUGUCUACAGGCUUUUCCCCCCUUUUCUAUGGCUGAAAUGGACUUCAAAAGGAUAAGUAAAAUCCAUUCUGGUAGCUCCC